UACAGAGGCCUCAAGCGUUGUUCGGAUUUAUUGGGCGUAAAGGGUGCGUAGGCGGUACCGAAAGUUAGGUGUGAAAGUUCGAGGCUUAACCUCGAAAUUGCACCUAAUACUCCGGUGCUUGAGUCUCAUAGAGGAAUCUGGAAUUCACGGUGUAGCAGUGAAAUGCGUAGAUAUCGUGAAGAAGGCCUGUGGCGAAAGCAAGAUUCUGGGUGACGACUGACGCUGAGGCACGAAAGCCAGGGGAGCAAACAGG
rnacentral:rRNA from 1 species